GAUGAACGCUGGCGGCGUGCCUAAUACAUGCAAGUCGAGCGAACGGACGAGAAGCUUGCUUCUCUGAUGUUAGCGGCGGACGGGUGAGUAACACGUGGAUAACCUACCUAUAAUACUGGGAUAACUUCGGGAAACCGGAGCUAAUACCGGAUAAUAUUUUGAACCGCAUGGUUCAAAAGUGAAUGACGGUCUUGCUGUCACUUAUAGAUGGAUCCGCGCUGCAUUAGCUAGUUGGUAAGGUAACGGCUUACCAAGGCAACGAUGCAUAGCCGACCUGAGAGGGUGAUCGGCCACACUGGAACUGAGACACGGUCCAGACUCCUACGGGAGGCAGCAGUAGGGAAUCGUCCGCAAAGGGCGAAAGCCUGACGGAGCAACGCCGCGUGAGUGAUGAAGGUCUUCGGAUCGUAAAACUCUGUUAUUAGGGAAGAACAUAUGUGUAAGUAACUGUGCACAUCUUGACGGUACCUAAUCAGAAAGCAACGGCUAACUACGUG
rnacentral:rRNA from 1 species